UAGAGUUUGAUCCUGGCUCAGAACGAACGCUGGCGGCGUGGAUAAGACAUGCAAGUCGAACGAGAGAAUUGCUAGCUUGCUAAUAAUUCUCUAGUGGCGCACGGGUGAGUAACACGUGAGUAACCUGCCCCCGAGAGCGGGAUAGCCCUGGGAAACUGGGAUUAAUACCGCAUAGUAUCGAAAGAUUAAAGCAGCAAUGCGCUUGGGGAUGGGCUCGCGGCCUAUUAGUUAGUUGGUGAGGUAACGGCUCACCAAGGCGAUGACGGGUAGCCGGUCUGAGAGGAUGUCCGGCCACACUGGAACUGAGACACGGUCCAGACACCUACGGGUGGCAGCAGUCGAGAAUCAUUCACAAUGGGGGAAACCCUGAUGGUGCGACGCCGCGUGGGGGAAUGAAGGUCUUCGGAUUGUAAACCCCUGUCAUGUGGGAGCAAAUUAAAAAGAUAGUACCACAAGAGGAAGAGACGGCUAACUCUGUGCCAGCAGCCGCGGUAAUACAGAGGUCUCAAGCGUUGUUCGGAAUCACUGGGCGUAAAGCGUGCGUAGGCUGUUUCGUAAGUCGUGUGUGAAAGGCGCGGGCUCAACCCGCGGACGGCACAUGAUACUGCGAGACUAGAGUAAUGGAGGGGGAACCGGAAUUCUCGGUGUAGCAGUGAAAUGCGUAGAUAUCGAGAGGAACACUCGUGGCGAAGGCGGGUUCCUGGACAUUAACUGACGCUGAGGCACGAAGGCCAGGGGAGCGAAAGGGAUUAGAUACCCCUGUAGUCCUGGCAGUAAACGGUGCACGCUUGGUGUGCGGGGAAUCGACCCCCUGCGUGCCGGAGCUAACGCGUUAAGCGUGCCGCCUGGGGAGUACGGUCGCAAGAUUAAAACUCAAAGAAAUUGACGGGGACCCGCACAAGCGGUGGAGUAUGUGGCUUAAUUCGAUGCAACGCGAAGAACCUUACCUGGGCUUGACAUGUAAUGAACAACAUGUGAAAGCAUGCGACUCUUCGGAGGCGUUACACAGGUGCUGCAUGGCCGUCGUCAGCUCGUGUCGUGAGAUGUUUGGUUAAGUCCAGCAACGAGCGCAACCCCUGUUGCCAGUUACCAGCACGUGAAGGUGGGGACUCUGGCGAGACUGCCCAGAUCAACUGGGAGGAAGGUGGGGACGACGUCAGGUCAGUAUGGCCCUUAUGCCCAGGGCUGCACACGUACUACAAUGCCCAGUACAGAGGGGGCCGAAGCCGCGAGGCGGAGGAAAUCCUAAAAACUGGGCCCAGUUCGGACUGUAGGCUGCAACCCGCCUACACGAAGCCGGAAUCGCUAGUAAUGGCGCAUCAGCUACGGCGCCGUGAAUACGUUCCCGGGUCUUGCACACACCGCCCGUCA
rnacentral:rRNA from 1 species